rnacentral:rRNA from 1 species
GACGAACGCUGGCGGCGUGCUUAACACAUGCAAGUCGAGCGGUAAGGCCCUUUUGGGGGUACACGAGCGGCGAACGGGUGAGUAACACGUGGGUGACCUGCCUUCAGCUCUGGGAUAAGCUUGGGAAACUGGGUCUAAUACCGGAUGUGACUGUCUGCCGCAUGGUGGGUGGUGGAAAGUUCUCGGGCUUUGGUCUGGGUUCGGCUGGGGAUGGGCCUGCGGCCUAUUAGCUUGUUGGUGGGGUGAUGGCCUACCAAGGCGACGACGGGUAGCCGGCCUGAGAGGGCGACCGGCCACACUGGGACUGAGACACGGCCCAGACUCCUACGGGAGGCAGCAGUGGGGAAUAUUGCGCAAUGGGCGGAAGCCUGACGCAGCGACGCCGCGUGGGGGAUGACGGCCUUCGGGUUGUAAACCUCUUUCGCCAUCGACGAAGGUUCUGUGGUUGUGAGGCUGCAGGGUUGACGGUAGGUGGAGAAGAAGCACCGGCCAACUACGUGCCAGCAGCCGCGGUAAUACGUAGGGUGCGAGCGUUGUCCGGAAUUAUUGGGCGUAAAGAGCUCGUAGGCGGUGUGUCGCGUCGGCCGUGAAAACCUGCAGCUUAACUGUGGGCGUGCGGUCGAUACGGGCAUCACUGGAGUUCGGCAGGGGAGACUGGAAUUCCUGGUGUAGCGGUGAAAUGCGCAGAUAUCAGGAGGAACACCGGUGGCGAAGGCGGGUCUCUGGGCCGAUACUGACGCUGAGGAGCGAAAGCGUGGGGAGCGAACAGGAUUAGAUACCCUGGUAGUCCACGCCGUAAACGGUGGGCGCUAGGUGUGGGGGCCAUUCCACGGUC